AGUAGAGUGGCUGAGGUAUAAGGUGAUAAAUUGUAAAUUUAUUUAGGAACUAAAUUGAGUUCCUCUACUA
rnacentral:tRNA from 1 species